rnacentral:rRNA from 1 species
CCAGACUCCUACGGGAGGCAGCAGUGGGGAAUAUUGCACAAUGGGGGGAACCCUGAUGCAGCGACGCCGCGUGAGUGAAGAAGGAUUUCGGAAUGUAAAGCUCUGUCAGCAGGGAAGAAUAAAGACGGUACCUGACCAAGAAGCACCGGCUAACUCCGUGCCAGCAGCCGCGGUAAUACGGAGGGGGCAAGCGUUAAUCGGAAUUACUGGGCGUAAAGCGCUCGUAGGCGGUAUGUCAAGUCAGGGGUGAAAUCCCCGCGCUCAACGUGGGAACUGCAUUUGAAACUGGCAAACUGGAGUGUGGGAGAGGAUAGUGGAAUUCCAGGUGUAGGAGUGAAAUCCGUAGAUAUCUGGAGGAACAUCAGUGGCGAAGGCGACUAUCUGGCACAUAACUGACGCUGAGGAGCGAAAGCGUGGGUAGCAAACAGGAUUAGAUACCCCGGUA